AGCCUCCAGAAAGUUGACAAAAGUAAAAAUAUAAAUGAAUGCCUCUUCUUAAAGUUAAUUAUACCUGACUAAUGGCUGACGAUGGCUUAAAAUAUGUUACAAAGAAACGAGUAUGAAAACUGUGUGGCACCAAGACAUUCUAGAAAAAUAAGGAAUAUCUGCCUUUUCAGAUCAAAAUUUACUAAAAAGCCUCCGUUAAUCAAAGCAUUAUGGUUUGAAUUAUGAGGCAAAACAGAUAACUGAGAUGUCUUGAAGUAAAAUAUAAACCUGUGUGAUUGUAUUUUUUAAGAACUUUUUCUUGACUCUGUUAACAAACAAGAAAUAGACUGGAAGAUAAUUGUAAAGAUUAGCUACACAAAAGAUUAUACAUUCCUAAGACAAAAUGAACCCCUGCCAACUGACAAAAAGCAAAGGCAAUGAGGAGCUCUUCCCGAGAGGAGGAAAACUAAUUGGUCAUUAACAUUUAAAAAGAUGCUUAACCACACUACUAGUCAAGAUUAUCACUUUUAAAGGGAACCACAUUUUUCACCUAUCAAACAAUGAAGGUGGAGAAAUAGGCACUCCUUUCGCUGGUAGUGUGGUGUGUGAAGUCAUCUUGUAAUAUAUAUUAAAAUUAAAAGUACAAGUAUGUACCCUUUGACCUUCACAAUCUCAUCUGUGAAUCUGAUGUCUACAAAUUUCUUGUAGAAUUCUUUGUAGUGACAAAAACUAGAAAUGACAUGCAUGUUCAUACGUAAGGAAAGGAGUAAAUUGGUGCAUUCAUACUCUGGAAAUUACCCAGCUAUGAAAAAGAAUGGAUUGGAACUAUAUGUACACCUGGAGGGAUGGCCAUAAAAUAUUACAUGAAAAAGUUUCAGAGCUACAUAUAUUAUGCAUAAUUAUAUUUUUGGAACAAACAAAACACCUUGUGUAUGUUUGUGUUGAGGGAUACACAAUAGAUUAUUAAAAUGGUUACUCAUGGGAUGGCCAGGCGCAGUGGCUCAUGCCUGUAAUCCCAGCACUUUGGGAAGCCAGAGGUGGGCUGAUCACUGGAGGUUAGGAGUUCAAGACCAGCCUGGCCAACAUGGGGAAACCCCAUCUGUACUAAAAAUACAAAAAUUAGCCGGGCGUGGUGGCGGGUGCCUGUAAUCUCAUCUACUUGGGAGGAGGCUGAAGCACAAGAAUUGCUUGAACCCAGGAGGUGGAGGUGGACGUUACAGUGAGCCAAGAUCGCACCACUGCACUCCAGCCUGAGUGACAGGCACACCAGCCUGGGCGACAGAGUAGUAAGACUCUGUCUCUAAAUAAAUACGUAAAAUAAAAAUAAAAUGGUUACUCAGAGGGAGGGAAUGGAAAUGGAGAAAAGGGAGAGAUUACACUUUUUUUUUAUUGUGUCACUUCAUUUAAUGAGCACGUCAAUUUGGUAACUAAAAAUAAUAAAACCUUAAAAAAAAAUAGAACAAUAGGCCGGGCAUGGUGGCUCAUCCCAGCACUUUUGGAGGCUGAGGUGGGCAGAUCAUCUGAGGUCAGGAGUUCGAGAGCAGCCUAACAUAGUGAAACCCGUCUCUACUAAAAAAUACAAAAUUAGCCGGGCGUGGUGAUGCAUGCCUAUAAUCCCAGCUACUCAGGAGGCUGAGACAGGAGAAUCAUUUGAACCUGGGAGGCAGAGGUUGCAGUGAGCUGAGAUCAUGCCACUGCACUCCAGCCUGGGUGACAGAGCAAGACUCCAUCUUGUGGGGGCGGAAAAAAAAGAAAAAAGAACGAUAAAGAUUUUUUAAAACAAUUUGAUGGAAAAAAAGAACGAUAAAGAUUUUUUAAAACAAUUUGAUGGAAAAAAAAGAACGAAAAAGAUUUUUUAAAACAAUUUGAUGGAAUCCUGUUUUUAGAAUCUAAUCCGUAAAAUAAAUGACAUAAAUGGAUUUGAAAUGAUACCAUAAAUUAAGGGUGUAAACACAAUAUGUAUCUCUAUAAAUGCCUUUUAACAUGAAAAGAUGGCUAUUGUCACAUACAAUUAAAGAAAUGAAAUUUAAAAUAAUAAUUACAAAAAUAAUAUUCAGUAUUCUAAAAGCAAAUUAAUACAAUUAUUUAAGAGGGCAAUAUGACACUUCCUAUUUUAAGAAGUAAACUGUUCAUAAACUUUGUAAUGGUCAAUUCUCAACUCAUUUUAAAGAAAAACUCACGCCUGUAAUCCCAGCACUUUGGGAGGCCGAGGUGGGCGGAUCAUGAGGUCAGAAGAUCAAGACUAUCCUGGCCAACAUGGUGAAACCCCGCCUCUACUAAAAAUACAAAAAUUAGCUGGGUGUAGAGGUACACGCCUGUAAUCCCAGCUACUUGGGAGGCUGAGGCAGGAGAAUAGCUUGAACCAGGGAGUUGGAGGUUGCAGUGAGCCAAGAUUCUGCCACUGCACUCCAGCUCGGGUGACAGAAGGAGACUCCAUCUCCAAAAAAAAAAAAAAAAAGGUUACAUCAUGAUAUGUUUAUACAGUGGAAGCCAACAGAACCAUUGAAAAGAGAUACUUUAAGUGAAAAGGCAAGUUAUAAAGCAGUAUGUAUAAUAAGUCGUUUUAAAAAUAAAAUGUUAGGCUUUUUUUUUUUGAGAUGGAGUCUUGCUCUGUUGCCCAGGCUGGAGUGCAGUGGCGUGGUCUCGGCUCACUGCAACCUCCAUCUCCCAGGUUCAAGCAAUUCUUCUGCCUCAGCCUCCUGAGUAGCAGGGACUACCGGCGCCCGCCACCACACCCAGCUAAUUUUUGUAUUUUUACUAGAGACGGGGGUUUCACCAUGUUGGCCAGGAUGGUCUCGAUCUCUUGACCUCGUGAUCUGCCCGCCUCGGCCUCCCAAAGUGUUGGGAUUACAGGUGUGAGCCACCGCCCCCAGCCUAGGCUUUUUUUUUUUUUUUUUUAACUGGAGGAAUAUACAAUAACAAGAGUUAACAGUUGCUUUCUAGAAAUGUUGGCCGGGGGGGAGGGAAAGAGAGUUAAUAUUGGUUGUCUCUAAGGAGUAGGAUUAGAAGGAAUUUGUCACUUUUUAUGUUUUAUAAAUCCAUACAUUUUCAAAUAACAAGUGUUCCUUUUGUAGUUGAAAAAAACAACUAUUUGAAAGGUGAGUUAAUUUAGUAUCUGAUCAUCUAGGAGUAAAACUAAGUGAAGAAAGAAUUUCCUAUUUAAAAGAUCUUGAAUGCAAAUCAAAACUAUAAUGAGAUACCACUUCACACACACUAGAAUUACUAUAAUAAAAAAUACCAUAAAAAUGUUAUUGGUGAGGAUGUGGAGAAAAUGAAACCCUCCUAUAUUGCUGGUGGUCCAGCUACUUUGGAAAGGACCUAAAAUGGUCCAGCUACUUUGGAAAACAGUUUGGCAGUUUCUUUUUUUUUUUUUUU
rnacentral:lncRNA from 1 species